ensembl:misc_RNA
GGCACUUGGUAUUCUCACCCAAGGCUCAGUAAUCUCCAGUGUAACUCAUGUUUGCUGGGGCACCCUCCGAGGACCGCCGGACGCGUGACAGACCUUG